UCCUGCUAGUGAAGGCAGGGGGUUGGACUUGAUAACCUUUCAAGAUCCCUUCCAGUUCUAGGAGAUUGGUAUAUCACCAAUUAUUACCUUUAGGCAGUAUGCAAGGGAGGAAAGGAGCAG